GAUGAACGCUGGCGGCGUGCCUAAUACAUGCAAGUCGAGCGAACGGACGAGAAGCUUGCUUUUCUGAUGUUAGCGGCGGACGGGUGAGUAACACGUGGAUAACCUACCUAUAAGACUGGGAUAACUUCGGGAAACCGGAGCUAAUACCGGAUAAUAUUUUGAACCGCAUGGUUCAAAAGUGAAAGACGGUCUUGCUGUCACUUAUAGAUGGAUCCGCGCUGCAUUAGCUAGUUGGUAAGGUAACGGCUUACCAAGGCAACGAUGCAUAGCCGACCUGAGAGGGUGAUCGGCCACACUGGAACUGAGACACGGUCCAGACUCCUACGGGAGGCAGCAGUAGGGAAUCUUCCGCAAUGGGCGAAAGCCUGACGGAGCAACGCCGCGUGAGUGAUGAAGGUCUUCGGAUCGUAAAACUCUGUUAUUAGGGAAGAACAUAUGUGUAAGUAACUGUGCACAUCUUGACGGUACCUAAUGAGAAAGCCACGGCUAACUACGUG
rnacentral:rRNA from 1 species